UUGAUUCUAGGUGGAAGCUCA
rnacentral:siRNA from 1 species